rnacentral:rRNA from 1 species
AUGCGGCGGUCGUCGAGCGGGGCGCGCGUGUCGGAGGGCGGCGACGCGUCCUCGUCCUCGUCGGGCCACCACGGCGACGGCACGGCGCUCCCGACGUUCGACCCGCAGUCGGCGGCGGGCCGGCGGGAGGCGGCGCGGACCCGGGCGCUGGGGCGCGCCGUGCACUUCAUCCCGCUGUUGCUGCUGCUCUGCGCCCUCGUGCUCUGGCUCUCCGCCGCCUCCACCUCCCCGGUUCACCUCGCUUUGCAAAUAAAGAAAAUGCCCUAG